rnacentral:rRNA from 1 species
UACGGAGGAUCCGAGCGUUAUCCGGAUUUAUUGGGUUUAAAGGGAGCGUAGGCGGGUUGUUAAGUCAGUUGUGAAAGUUUGCGGCUCAACCGUAAAAUUGCAGUUGAUACUGGCAUCCUUGAGUACAGUAGAGGUAGGCGGAAUUCGUGGUGUAGCGGUGAAAUGCUUUGAUAUCACGAAGAACUCCGAUUGCGAAGGCAGCCUGCUGGACUGUAACUGACGCUGAUGCUCGAAAGUGUGGGUAUCAAACAGG